AUGGCUUCAUAUUCAGAGAAGCAGGCCAACGGCAUUGGUGAGAAACAUCAUGAUCUAGUUUGUGUGACUGGAGCAGGAGGCUUCAUUGGGUCAUGGGUGGUGAAGGCGCUCCUCCUCCGUGGCUACCGUGUCCGGGGAACUGCCAGAGAUCCCGCUGAUCACAAGAACGCCCACUUGCUUGCUCUGGAGGGAGCCAAGGAGAGGCUAUCCCUGUGCCGCGCCAAUCUCCUGGACCGCGACAACCUCAUCGCCGUGUUCAGCGGAUGCCACGGCGUCUUUCAUAUCGCCUCACCGAUCUCCAAUACGGACCCGGACCUCAUGGUGGUUGCCGUGGAGGGAACCAAGAACGUGAUCAACGCGGCGGCGGACGCGGGCGUGCAGCGUGUGGUGUUCACCUCCUCCUACGGUGCCGUGCACAUGGACCCCAACCGGAGCUCCGACGCCGUGCUCGACGAAUCGUGCUGGAGUGACUACGAGUUCUGCGAGCAAACAGGCAAUCUGUACUGCUGCUCGAAGAUAAUGGCGGAGAUCACGGCGAAGGAGGAGGCGGCCAAGAGGGGGCUGGAGCUAGCGGUGGUGCUGCCUUCCAUGACGAUCGGUCCCGCCCUGCAGCAGAAGCUCAACCUGGGCAUCAGUCACAUCAUCCGCUACGUGACUGGCGCCAAGAAGACCUAUCGCAACGCCAUCACCGCCUACGUCGACGUCCGCGAGGUGGCCCGCGCCCACGUCCUCGUCUACGAGCGCCCCGACGCGCGCGGCCGCUACCUCUGCAUUGGCGCCGUCGUCCACCGCGCCGACUUGGUGCAGCUCCUCGGCGACCUCUUCCCCGAGUACCAGAUAACUGCCAAAUGUGAAGAUGACGGCAAGCCUAUGGCCAGGCCAUACAGGUUCUCCAACCAGAGGCUCAGGGACCUGGGCUUGGAGUUUACUCCCCUCAGGCAGACUUUGUAUGACACAGUGGUAUCGCUGCAGCAGCAGGGUCACCUGCUUCUGCCCGCGGUUCCAGGCCCAGAACGUGCACGCCUCUAA
rnacentral:rRNA from 1 species